GCGCCGUUGUGUGGUGGUGUUGGAUUUUUUCAACGAUACGCCAAGCAGCCAACAACAUUUCAUAUGAAUUCUGCCAUUUAGUCGUAAACGAGUGCUUGGAGACUUCACAUAUUGGAGGAUCAAAUCCACGUCAUAACUUGCAUUGGCAAAAUAUCUACUGCUCUACUGUGUGAGAAUACAGGAGAAGAAGAAAUAGAAAAAAAGUGAAAUACCAUACAAAAAAUUUGAUUUUUCCUCCAUGGGUGUUUUUUCAUGUGGAAUAUAGGAAACAAAGCAAAAUAAUACAGAAAUCAUAGUGUGUGAAAACAAGAAAUUGUAUAGAGAAGAAAUUUUUGGUAGAAUAGGAAAAAAUUACUGGAUUUAAUUAAAAUCCACACACACACGCACGCAAAAAAGUGACCAUUUGUGUUUGGAGAAACCUUAAAAAAUUAAAACGUAAAAAAACCUGAAUUGUCAUUUGAAAAAAAAAAAAAAAUAAAAAUUAAAUUAUAAAGUGGCAAAAAUAUUUUCCCUUCAAAAGUCUCGCUGAGAAGACAAAAAGCAAAGAAAACGCCAACUCUGUACUAAAAUGGUGGUGAUUCACUGACAAAAGAAAAACGGAGAAUUGUCAAAUAGAAAAAAAGUAUUUUUUUUGUAUGUGAAAGUGCAAGCAAAAGGAUAACUGCAGCAGCACAUUGUUUUUUUACUUCCAAACAAAGGAUAACAACUUGAAAAUUAAUUGUGAUAUUUUUUGGUUUUACCCAGAACCAAUCAACAUUCUUAUACGAGUGCAAUUUUUAAUGCUUUAAAUUAAAAAAGUAAAACAAGAAAAAAAAAGGAUACAAACCAACCAAUCAUCUCCACACCAACGCUACUCCAUUAAAAUUAACAAAGUGUGUUUGGUUAACAAGGCAAACGAAGAAUUAAAAGGAUUAACUCUCUCUCUUUCCCACUUGCUGCAAUAACUGUGAUUUUUCUUGGAUUAUUUUUCCUGCUGCACACACCUAAAUUUUGAAAAAAAAAAAAAAAAAGGAUUUAAUUCUUUACUGCAGUUUAACUCAAAAAAUUACAAACAAUCUAUUUGGAUUUAACAAAGGCACAUUCUCCCGAUUUCUAUAUUGAUUUUACAGUAACUGCGUAUAUUUUGCUAGACAACUAACAAACAAAGUAAGUUUACAAAAAACACAUACAUGCGAUUUACAUGGACGCAUGGUAAGUUCCUUUCUGUAUUUCACAUAUUUGGAGGUUUUGCUUUAUCAGUGAUUUAAUAAAUAAUGAGGCUAUGCUAGCAGUCUUCUGCGACAUAUGACAGAACACACUACACACUCUAUAUACCGCAUUUUAAACGAUUACCCCAAAAAUCAUCAGGCAGGAAAAUGCUAACCUAUAUAGACAACUAGCAAGUAUCGCUACUACUUCGUCUGCGAAAAGUCCAUCUUAAAAAUUUAGAUUUGUUCCAACAGUUUGUGUUAGGCCUUUUUGGCAUUCAAAAUGCAUAAUUUAUUCAGGUUGACAACAUUUUUCAAUCACAACUUCAUACAUAGUACUAAAUUUUCGGACUUUCGCCUUUUACACCAAAAAAG